AUAUUUCACUUUCUUAGUAUAUACACUGAAAUUGGAACAAUAUAGAGAUUAGCAUGGCUCCUGAGCAAGGAUGAUGUGCAGGUUCAUGAAGAGUUACAAAAUUCU
ensembl:snRNA U6 U6 spliceosomal RNA